rnacentral:rRNA from 1 species
GACGAACGCUGGCGGCAGGCUUAACACAUGCAAGUCGAGCGAGCGGCGGACGGGUGAGUAAUGUCUGGGAAACUGCCUGAUGGAGGGGGAUAACUACUGGAAACGGUAGCUAAUACCGCAUACCAUCAGAUGUGCCCAGAUGGGAUUGUCUAGUAGGUGGGGUAAUGGCUCACCUAGGCGGCGAUCCCUAGCUGGUCUGAGAGGAUGACCAGCAACAGUGGAAAGGAGACACGGUCCAGAAUCGUACGGGAGGCAGCAGUGGGGAAUAUUGCACAGUGUGCGCAAGGCUGAUGCAGCCAUGCCGCGUGUGUGAAGAAGGCCUUCGGGUUGUAAAGCACUUUCAGCGAGGAGGCGUUACUCGCAGAAGAAGCACCGGCUAACUCCGUGCCAGCAGCCGCGGUAAUAC